UACAAUGGCGCAUACAAAGAGAAGCGACCUCGCGAGAGCAAGCGGACCUCAUAAAGUGCGUCGUAGUCCGGAUUGGAGUCUGCAACUCGACUCCAUGAAGUCGGAAUCGCUAGUAAUCGUGGAUCAGAAUGCCACGGUGAAUACGUUCCCGGGCCUUGUACACACCGCCCGUCACACCAUGGGAGUGGGUUGCAAAAGAAGUAGGUAGCUUAACCUUCGGGAGGGCGCUUACCACUUUGUGAUUCAUGACUGGGGUGAAGUCGUAACAAGGUAACCGUAGGGGAACCUGCGGUUGGAUCACCUCCUUACCUUAAAGAAGC
rnacentral:rRNA from 2 species